CUCACAGUGAUCCUCCUGCCUCAGCCUCCUGAGUGCUGGGAUUACAGGUGUGCACCACCACGCCUGGCUUGGAGACUUUUCAAAGGAAUUGCAAGGAGAUGGGAUUGCUCCUGAAAUCCAGCGGAUAUUCAGAUUGCUAAAUCCUUCAAAUAGAAGGUGAUCUGUCCAUGAAGCUCAUGGUUCCAAGAACACAGGAUUUUUUUUCUCCCCCAAAUUUGGAGAGAUUGAAUGCUUGUGUAUCUAGAAUUUACAGUGACACUGUCUCUCUGGAGGGAGGGCAAGUGGGCAGCAUUGGGCUAGAAGCCUCCGAACAUAGAGAAACUUACUGAACUCUCUGGGUAGGCAGGCAGUUAUGCAGAGGGUUCUUUCCAUUUUGUCAGUGAAGUCGCUUUGUCUAGCCCGAUCUGGUUUGCUCCUUGGAGAUGUUUAGGACAUUUAGGAGUGUGCAGUUGAAUAACAAAAAGCAAAGGUGUAGGUGCCAUCCAAGCUUGGUACCUCCUGUGAAGAACAUGACUUGAGGGUCCUGUCACCUGUUUCUUGGCAUCUCAUUUGCUAUUAAUCCAGCCACAGCUCAGAGUUUUUGUAGUGAGGAGGAAGAAUUUAGGAUGGCAAGAUUCUCCAAAGAGGAGAACAUGGUACACUUUCCAUUUCAAUCUUCGUUGUCCAAACAGCCUUCUCUGUUCUUCUGAUCUUUUUCUUAUUCCCAGAUGAAUCCUGGGAUCUGUAGAAAUAUGUACUUUUGAAGUGAUGGUCAGGCAGGGGAAAGAAAGGUCCUCAGAAGACAAGUGAGUUUUGAAGGGAGUUACUCCUUUACCAUUCUUUGUUCUCCCUUUGAAGGCCACUAGAGAAGGCCUAAGGUAUGAGGAUGCAGAGCCGAUCUAGUAUCUGUGUUUCCUUCCUGCCUGCCUUGUGCCCUAUAUGUACUUCCUGGACUAAGGACGGGAAUGGAGGAUGCCUCUGAGAUACUUGGCUGUGGCUGCAGAACUGCAGCUCUGAGAAGGAUGUGAAUGAAGGUCACACUGUAGUGAGCAUGGCUCUAGUCUCAGCCCAGCUGUGCUUCUAUGACUGUAUCCUUUGGAUUUGUAUCCCGUUGCUGCUGAAGUGGCUUUGUUCCCAAGGAGCAUGGGAGAAAUGUCUGGGUGUAUAGCUGUGAUGGAAGCAGCCCCAGAGCAUCCUGUGAAGAAUAAAUUGGUCGAUGCCAGUCUCUUUCAGGGAGGGGAGUUGGGCCUAAAGGUUGUCCCUAUUGAUGUAUUUGAUAUUUCCUGCCACCAGAUUCUCCUAGAUUUGAUUUCUGCAAUUUCUUGGAUGUGAUUUUUACUGUGUUCUUGAAGAUAAGAGGCAUGUUGUUUUCUAGGAAGUUUCUUCUGAGGGUGCAAAAAUUCUGGCCUCCAACUUGGGAGUAUUUUUCUGCACUGUUGGCUUUCUCUAACGAGAGGAUAGUGUAAGUAGCAGCAUCCAAUAAACAGGAGGAUUUAUGUUAUUUGAGCCCUUCUGAGGAAGAGAGUUGUUAGCAGGCAGUGAAGACUUGGAGCCCAUUUUGUUUUUCUGCUACUUUUCUUCUUGGUGCCUGGCCUUUACUGUGAUGUUUUUCUCAGAUCCCUCUGUGUGCUUCUUGCUUCCUGGGGGACCUUUGUGGAACUGAAAAAUAGCAGGCUAUUUAGCAGCUUGGAGCAAGGAUAUGUGCUUGAACCCACUGCACUGCACAGGAAAGAGAACACAGCAGCUCAUGCUUCACCAAGCAAGCACACAAGAUGCAGAAGGGCUCAGAGGGUUCCAGCAAGGCUCUGAAGACAGAAUCUCAGCUUGGGAACUGGCUUAACUUACAGGAAUACAAUCAGUGCCUUUUCUCUCAGCACUCUGACAUCACAGCAUCGAACUGGGGGUGGUCAUUAGUCUGCAUUAAAAAUGCAAGCCACCUGCAGAAGAGCCACUAGCCCUCUCACCUUGCUGGAGUUCUGUCCCCUCACGGGGACUUUUCUGGCCAUGGCUUUUCCAUCACGUUUUGGUGGUCCCUCCAACAGUUGGUCUUUGAAAUGGAGAAGAAAAGAAAGUGAUCGGUCAGGGUACCUUUGGGCAGCUUCUGGAGGUCAGAGACAGUUGAGUGUCCUCUUUUGGAAGCUGCAUCCUUGUAGUUUAUAUUGUUCUUAGCCUUUCACCUUGAGGGCUAUUUCUGGGAAGUUGGGUCCACAGAGAUGCAAAUCUCCAGGGCCUGUGUCUUUGGGUCUGAAUCCUCAUCCUAGUGGGUCCUUCUUUCUUUACCUCUCUGUUUUACUAGACUCAUUAGCAAGUCUUGUUGGAGAAGAGAUGGGUGAGGGAGCGGGAGAAGAGGACAGCUCCACAAUCGAGUCAUCCUGCCUGUGUCUGUAGAUGAGUAUCAAGUAGGGCAGCUGUAUUCUGUGGCUGAGGCCAGUAAAAAUGAAACG